rnacentral:tRNA from 1 species
UCCCUGGUGGUCUAGUGGUUCGGACUCGGCACUUUCACUACUGGGGCCUGGGUUCAAUCCCUAUCGGGGAA